AGAGGGAUAGCUGGGUCAAAUGGUGGUUCCAUUCCAAGGAAUCUCCAUAUUGUUUUCCAUAUUGGCUGCACCAAUUUGCCGUCCCACCAGCAAU
rnacentral:pre_miRNA from 1 species